rnacentral:lncRNA from 1 species
GACUCCUGAACAAUACACACCCCGGGGAGACGCAAAAGCAGGGGUUGUGUGGCUGAGAGGUACAAACAGAAGUCUGGGCUCCUGACCACUGUAGUAGAGAAACAGGUCAGAGCUAGAGACUCACUAAGUUAAAAGGCUCUGUCAACACUCCAGCAUGGCCACAUGUUAGUGUAGAAAGCCCUGUGUUACACUACAAAGGGUCCUUACUGAGGGCUAAAGGCAAAGCUGAGACAGAUUUGCCCCAGAAAAAAAUGUAAACCAGCUGCUACAUGAUAAAAGUGACUGGUUAAUAGAUCAACUGCCUGCAAGCGAAAGGGUCAACACUCUUCACAGGAAUAGAAUACAACCCGGAGUCUCUUUCAACGUGCUGACUGUAAAGUUCAGCCUCAACACAGCUUUUUCUAGACACAGAAGAUGUGACCUGUUAUUAAAAGGCCACCAACAGAAACAGAUUCUGUGGUAAUGAUGGGAUUAGCUAAAGAGACUUUAAAGGAAUUUAAGGAAGCUGUUAGCAUUUCAGGGACACCACAGUAAUAAUAAGUAAUGACAUACAGGAACUAUCAAAACAGAAACUUAGAAAACAAAAAUGAAGAUUCUAGAACCAAAAAGUACAAUAAACGAAAUGAAAGAGUAGACUGGACGGACUUAAUAGCAUAUUGGAGAUGAGAGAGCAAAUUAAAAACAAAUUAUGACAUU